rnacentral:rRNA from 1 species
AAAGCGUGCGCAGGCGGUUUUGUAAGUCUGUCGUGAAAGCCCCGGGCUCAACCUGGGAAUUGCGAUGGAGACUGCAAGGCUUGAAUCUGGCAGAGGGGGGUAGAAUUCCACGUGUAGCAGUGAAAUGCGUAGAGAUGUGGAGGAACACCGAUGGCGAAGGCAGCCCCCUGGGUCAAGAUUGACGCUCAUGCACGAAAGCGUGGGGAGCAAACAGGAUUAGAUACCCGUGU